ACAUUAGUGGUUUAGUGGUAAAAUCCAUCGAUGGUAACGAUGGGUCCUGCGUUCGAUUCGCAGCUAAUGCA